rnacentral:lncRNA from 1 species
AACACUGCCAUGACGACAAGUCAUAGAGGGAAGGACUCUCUCUAUUCAGUAUGGUUCUAGAAAGGUUAGAGGGACGUCUACAGGAACUAGAUGCUGACAGACCACGUCUGAAAAGGCAAGCACAGAGCAGAGAAUAAACUCGGAGAGGAGGGACAGGUUUCGACCGAGCUCUUUCGAACAGCAAGGGCACAUUACUUUAACGUCCAAAAUCAGUGUCACGAACAGACAACCAAGUGCUUUGAUGUGCAAAACUAUUCUCUCCUGCUGAUACCAAGAUAAAAGGCCAGGAACCCAUAGGCUUCUAGGAGGGAAGAGGAUCCUAUACUGACAGCAGGAGAGGAAAGAAGGACCUCCAGUCUAAACCUUGAUGAAAGCUUAGGAGAUGCUACUGUUGAAGUCUUAGCCUCAGAACUGUGAGAGCACAGGUAUGUUUAUCUACAGUACCACAGAGAAGGGGUGUAUUGUCUUAUGCGCCAAUAGGAAGCUACAAAAGCUAGAGAACUCACAAGAAGUUUGUUAAUAUAUUUAGAGAGAUGAAUCUGUUCAAAGUGACACCAAGUAAAUUUCUAAUUCUAAAGUCAUGCCAUUUAUAAAACUCCAUUUCAUUUGAAAUUCUGUUCUAGAUAUUUGAGGGAAAUUAUAUACUGUAAUUACUCAGUAGCUUUUCCUAGAGAGUAACUGAUUUACUAAGUAAGAAAAUUACAGUAAACUGUAGUAUUUGGGAAAUGUCUUCUUUGAGUCAUUUCCUGAUUUAUAAACUAGCAAAGAAAAGUAACUUGGCUUCUAGUAACUAGGCGAACAGGCAACAAUUAAGAAAUACCAGUUCAUAAAUUGAGUUCUAUGAGAGUCAGUGAAUAUUCAGUUAUACAGAGGGUGAAACAGUUUUAGUCUCAAAAGUUCUGCAUAAUAUUUUUAGUGUUUUGAUCGUAGAAAAUAAAUGAGAAAACCGAGAAGGUAUUCUUAGUCAUUGUUAUUUCCAAUGUCAAAUUUAUAAUACAAUACACAUAUAUCAUGGAAAUGAUAUGGAUGAUCAUAUAAAAUUCACAGAUCCAAGUAAAACGGUGAAAACUAAACUCCGAUUGUGUUUUGGUGUGUGCACUGUUCCGUGGUGGUGUAAGGAAGGCAGCUCAGCAGUUAAGUGCACGUACUCUUCUUGCAGAAGACACAAGUUUGGUUUUCUGAACCCACAUGGCAGGUAACAGCAGCGACUGAAGUUCCAGGUGACCCCCUCUCAUGAAGUCCAAGGGAGCUGCAUGUUCAUGGUGCACAGACAUAGGCGAAAUACUCAUAUGGAUAAAAUUAAAAUAAACAGAU